rnacentral:rRNA from 1 species
AGCCUUUUCGGUCUCGUUGGUGACCAGCGGAGGGAUCAUUACCGAGUUUACAACUCCCAAACCCCUGUGAACAUACCUUAUGUUGCCUCGGCGGAUCAGCCCGCGCCCCGUAAAAAGGGACGGCCCGCCGCAGGAACCCUAAACUCUGUUUUUAGUGGAACUUCUGAGUAUAAAAAACAAAUAAAUCAAAACUUUCAACAACGGAUCUCUUGGUUCUGGCAUCGAUGAAGAACGCAGCAAAAUGCGAUAAGUAAUGUGAAUUGCAGAAUUCAGUGAAUCAUCGAAUCUUUGAACGCACAUUGCGCCCGCCAGUAUUCUGGCGGGCAUGCCUGUUCGAGCGUCAUUUCAACCCUCAAGCCCAGCUUGGUGUUGGGAGCUGCAGUCCUGCUGCACUCCCCAAAUACAUUGGCGGUCACGUCGAGCUUCCAUAGCGUAGUAAUUUACACAUCGUUACUGGUAAUCGUCGCGGCCACGCCGUUAAACCCCAACUUCUGAAUGUUGACCUCGGAUCAGGUAGGAAUACCCGCUGAACUUAAGCAUAUCAAUAAGCGGAGGAA